UGGAGCAGCUAUAUACCGGGAGUGUGCUGACUGUGAAAGCAGUGAUGGGCGCCAAGGAACCUAUUACAUCAAUAAAGAAGAUGCUUGGCUGCUUAUCCACUCUUCCUCCCCAAAUUGGCGAGUUAACUCGGUCAGCCGCCCGGAAAGGAGCGCUGACUACACUGAGUCGGUGCUUAGCAUAUGCUCCAGAGAUAAACCUAGAAGAAGUAGUGGCGGGCUUUCCUUAACUCAAGGAUGAUGGGUCAGAAUUCACUGAAGAGGACUACCAGCGUGUUGUCAAGGACUCCCGUUUGGCAGCGACUCAGCUUGCUGCAAGCCUGGA
rnacentral:lncRNA from 1 species